CAACCUGCCCACCACUUGGGGAUAACCUUGCGAAAGUAAGACUAAUACCCAAUGAUAUCUCUAGAAGACAUCUGAAAGAGAUUAAAGAUUUAUCGGUGAUGGAUGGGGAUGCGUCCGAUUAGCUUGUUGGCGGGGUAACGGCCCACCAAGGCAACGAUCAGUAGGGGUUCUGAGAGGAAGGUCCCCCACAUUGGAACUGAGACACGGUCCAAACUCCUACGGGAGGCAGCAGUGAGGAAUAUUGGUCAAUGGACGAGAGUCUGAACCAGCCAAGUAGCGUGCAGGAUGACGGCCCUAUGGGUUGUAGACUGCUUUUACAAGGGAAUAAAGUGAGUCUCGUGAGACUUUUUGCAUGUACCUUAUGAAUAAGGACCGGCUAAUUCCGUGCCAGCAGCCGCGGUAAUACGGAAGGUCCGGGUGUUAUCCGGAUUUAUUGGGUUUAAAGGGAGCGUAGGCCGGAGAUUAAGCGUGUUGUGAAAUGUAGACGCUCAACGUCUGCACUGCAGCGCGAACUGGUUUCCUUGANUACGCACAAAGUGGGCGGAAUUCGUGGUGUAGCGGUGAAAUGCUUANAUAUCACGAANAACUCCGAUUG
rnacentral:rRNA from 1 species